GUCACUGAGCCGCGGCUGCUGAGCUGGUUGCGUCGGUGCUCCUCUUGCGUGCCUUCUCCGGGCCUCGCUCCUUCACCCAGCUUCCACUUUUCCACGUCCCCGGUGGACGCAGCCCUCUGCAGGCUCCACGCCCAUGGCCACUAGCCUGAGGAGGCCGUCUUUCACCACCGGUUCUUCCUCCCCUCCGGACGCGGACGACGAGGGCGUGUGAGGUACUUGGGAAAAUGCUUCUCUGUGCAAGCGGUACCUGCCCGGCGCGGGGUUAGGGGCCCGCCUUCCACCUAGGCCCCAGCCCGCCGGGGACGUGGGCUCCUAGCCCUGCGUCAGGCAGGUACCCUUUGCACAGAGAAGCAUCUUUGCAAGGGCCCAGCUGCCUUGGUAGGGGAAGAAGAACAGGUGGUGAAGGGGGCCUCCACGGGAUAGUGGCCAUGGGCGUGGAGGUUGCUGGGUGCUGCGCCCACCGGGGACAAGGAAGCAGGGUCAAGAGAUGCCGGGGAUAAGAAGCGAGCCCGGGAGAGGGGAGGCGAGAGGAGCAGGGAUACAACCGGUUCAGCUAGCGCCACUCACAGACUACGACCACUGGUAGCUGCUCCAGCAACCUUCCAGCUAACCCACACCUCCCCAACUAGGCUCCAAGGACAAUUUCCCCGCCCCCUCAGCCCACGGAGGUGCCCAUUGGAAAACUCUUUUGGCCCCGCCUACAGAAACCGGAAGUUCUUGGAGAGGGCAAAGUAAACUGAAAUUGACGCAAUUGAGCGCCUGCAAAGCUUUCCGGGAAUUGUAGUCCUGGGCGCUUUGGGAGGCCUCUGGUUUUCUCAUGGCUUGUCAUGAAAUUUUAUAACUGUAAUUAACUCAGGGCAGAAAUGCUGGCAGGAUCCUUAGCAAUGGGGCAAAGGGCAGAGCAUCUAGCGGGAAAAGCAAGUGUCAGUGUUAUAGUCAGUUGGAGCUCAGUCUCAUUCAGCAAUUGAACAAAUAUUUAAGCGCUGGGGCAGGAUCUAGGCCAAGAGCUUAGCACACAAAAUCGCCUUUAAAAUGUUGUGAAGGAAGAAAUGUGUGGAAAACAUAUACCAUGGGAAACUAUGUAACAUCAGAGGCUGAAUUUCAAAAAUACAAUAUUGAGUGAAAGAAGAGAGAGAACAUUUUUUUUUUGUAAACUUAAAUUGAAAGAGAACUAAUGUUAUUUGGAAAAAUAAAUAUAUAUGGUAAAAUAACAUACAGGAUAGUAAAGAAAUGAGGGGAAAAAAUCCAAGCAAAAGUAAUGUUAUUUAGAAAAACACACAUAAAGGGUAAAAUAAUUAAUAAUUAAAGGAAUGAUGCAGAAAACCUGAAAUUAAGCUAUUUGUGACAUUGUGGGAGUGGAGAGUAUAGAAUACUAGAGAAAAGAGAAUGGGGAAGAAGUACACCAAUAAUUUCUCAAGCUGAGGUAGGUUCACAUGUGUUUAUUUCACUAUUAUGCAUAUUCAAGAGGGUCAUCACAUAGACUUUGCUGUAGACUUAUAAAAUAAUUUCUAAAUAAAAUUCCUAAAUGGUUUGCAUACUCCAUUUCAUCAUCUGUCAGGAGCAGGGAAUGGAGGUACUUAAACUUUAAGAACCAAAGGUCUCACACACAAGCAAAAUAAGGAAACAACAACAAAAACCCAGGACAGAUAUAUUGCAGCAAGUUCAGGUAUCAAAUACUGGCUUAGUAGUCAAUGGAGGAGCAAGAGUUCAUUGAUACUCAAAGUAGAAAUCAGGGGGGAAGGUUGAGGUUAGGGAGUUUUGCCAGGGGGAGUGGCGAUGAGAUGAAAUAACACCACUUCUUUGAGUGGUCAUUUGCCAAGAAGGUAAUGCAAACCACUGAAAAAGCAUAGCCUCCCAAGUUGGCAGUGGACACAUUCCCUGGGUGUCAGGGAGCCAAAAGAGGGGGUCAGCAGCAAGGAGUAUAAGGUGUCAAUCCCAUAGAUAUGGAUGGUGAGCCUGAGAGUGGAGGAGUCAGAUGAUACACUUCUGGUGUUUGAUGAGCCAAGCUGUUGUUUGCUGGGCCUUUGGUUCAGAAAAACAUGAUUCAGGGAACUUUGGUCAGUUUUUCACUGAGAGGUCACCCCAAAACCUUCCUGCAGGCAGGGCCAGCUCAUUUCAUUUAGGCUCCUAGUCAAGGGGCUAGAACUUAAUGAUGUAGGAAUGGAGACUGAAAAUGGAAACCUGAGCCAUCUCAAGCUGCAUAAUGCCUCCAAAUAUGAGACUACCCUCGGGGUAGCCACGAACAAUGUCCCAGCCAGAGAAAAGGCACUGACAACUAAUCUGCAUCCUAUGAUAAAGUCAAGAAAAGAGAAACUAUAGUUUAAAAUUCCUGUUGAACAUUGAUUAAUAUUGGGAGCAAAUACCUGGACUUUAACCAUGAAACUUCCUCUUUGCGAGGCUAGAGUGGACAUUUGCUGCUUUGACUAUUUGCUAUUCCUUUCUCCUAUCACAAUGGCCAGAGUUUAUCAUGAAGAAUCCAACUCCUCCUUUAGUCCACCUGGAUGUGGUAAGGCUCCACACCUGACAGUAGUGGUGGAAACUUGCCCAGGCCUGGCCUACCACUCAGAAUGUCGCCCUAGCUAUAUUUCAGGAGUGUGUGUUUUGGGAGGGAGGGGUUACCAGGUUGGUCCUAUCAGAAUUAACACCAGGGAUUUCCUGUUGUGGUUCUGUGGGUUAAGACAUCCACUAGUCUCCAUGAGGAUAUAGGUUCCAUCCCUGGACUCACUCAGUGAGUUAAGGAUCCAGUGUUGCCGCAAGCUACAUCUUAGGUUGCAUAUGCAGCUCAGUUCCGGUGUUGCUAUGGCUGUGGCAUGGGCCUGCAGCCACAAUUGCAGUUUGACUCCUAGCCUAGGAACUUUCAUAUGCCCCAGGUGUGGCCAUAAAAGGAAAAGAAAAAAAAAA
rnacentral:lncRNA from 1 species